rnacentral:rRNA from 1 species
AGUGAACGCUGGCGGUAGGCCUAACACAUGCAAGUCGAACGGCAGCACAGUAAGAGCUUGCUCUUACGGGUGGCGAGUGGCGGACGGGUGAGGAAUACAUCGGAAUCUACUUUUUCGUGGGGGAUAACGUAGGGAAACUUACGCUAAUACCGCAUACGACCUACGGGUGAAAGCAGGGGAUCUUCGGACCUUGCGCGAUUGAAUGAGCCGAUGUCGGAUCAGCUAGUUGGCGGGGUAAAGGCCCACCAAGGCGACGAUCCGUAGCUGGUUUGAGAGGAUGAUCAGCCACACUGGAACUGAGACACGGUCCAGACUCCUACGGGAGGCAGCAGUGGGGAAUAUUGGACAAUGGGCGCAAGCCUGAUCCAGCCAUACCGCGUGGGUGAAGAAGGCCUUCGGGUUGUAAAGCCCUUUUGUUGGGAAAGAAAAGCAGCAGGUUAAUACCCCGCUGUUCUGACGGUACCCAAAGAAUAAGCACCGGCUAACUUCGUG